GAUUAAACUCUUUCGCUGUAACUGUACUGCGCCCAUUGGAUCUGUACUCAAUUCAAUGAAGUCGUUCAGACCCGGAAGGGGACGGAUUUCGGGAUCGACACCGACUAUUCUUGGCGAGCAGGAAAAGAACGGCGUCACCAUCGGAAGAGGGCGGGCGAAUAAACUGGGAUAUGUUCUUUCCUCUGCCUGCACCUAGGUCGCCAGCGUUUACUGUAAUGGUUAUACAUUUGCAUGAUUAAGUUAGAUGAACAUUUAUUUGUAGCACUGUAUUUGUAAACAUUUGAAGUGUGCGUUAACCGGCUUUGGGACAAAGGAUAAGAAUUUUAGGUGACUGCAGUGGUCGAUAUUUGUAAAGCAACACAAAAUCUUAGGAGAGAGAAAAAAACAGGACAUAAGUAACAGUAUAUUACAUACAGAUGCAGACUUUGAGGCCUGCGUGUGCGCGUAGCGUGCUGGUUUUCAAUGCUUAAUUUACGACAUUGACUAGAGUCCACACACAUACCAGGAAAACCUGUUGGUACGAGUGGCCUCCAGAUGUGGAGGUGUGCAGCCCCUGAUAUAGCAUGCCAAUUAAUAUGCUUGUUUACGUCUCAAAUUUUACAAAAUUUAUUUUUAUUAAAACUUACACUUUAAUUGACA